rnacentral:lncRNA from 1 species
UCUUCUUGCUCACUUGAUUCUUGUUCUUAGUCUCUCCCUCUUCUUCUUAGUUUCGAUUUUAGGUUUGAUUUCGAUUAGGUUUUUCUUCUAUUUGGGGUGAUUGGAUUUUACUUUUCCUCUUAUCCUCGUCAAAAUGAGGUGUUCCAAUUACUGAAAACCCAGACCUCUCUCUCUCUCUGACUCUCAGCCUCCUUCACUGUCGAUGGCGGCGAAACGGCGGCAUUCAGUGAUUGUUGUCUUGGUCUCUCCAUGAAUUCGAAGGCAAUCACUUAGUGACUCGUCGUCUCUCUCUCUCUCUCUCUCUCAAUCUCUCCUGGACGGUCGCCGGCACUAGCCCUCUCCCUCUAUCCUCGAAGGUCGACGGCACCGACCCUUUCUCCUCGAAUUAGACUGGAGUAGUGGAAGGCGAUACGGUUGGAAUCGAGAGAGCGGGAGAAGAAGUCAGUUCGCCUUUCAUUUGGAUCAAUCUUGAAAGCUUGGCUAUCGAAGGGGUAUUGUUCGGUUUUGCUGUGAGGAGGAAGAGGACCUGCGUUUUGGAUAACUGCAUUUUGAGCCAAGGAGAAGAUGAGGAACUUGGGUAUAGGGUUGUGAUCGAUACUUAGUUUUUGGGACGUGUUAGUGCAAUAAUGUUUGCUAGAAGAGGUCCAAGAGGCUGCGCUUAUGCAGAUCCAGAACGACACCUUAUUAGUCCAAAGGAAUAUCAAAGUUUUUGAAUUGGAAGCAAUGGAAAUCUACAAGGAGUUGGCCUUUUCAUAGGUACUGAACCAAGAACAGGUCAUCUGGUUGUUAUGUCUUUUGUAGACGGUAGCCCAGCUGCUCUUGCUGGUAUUCAUGAGGGAGAUGAGUUGGUUGAAAUUAA